GACGAACGCUGGCGGCGUGCUUAACACAUGCAAGUCGAGCGGUAAGGCCCUUUCGGGGGUACACGAGCGGCGAACGGGUGAGUAACACGUGGGUGACCUGCCCUCAGCUCUGGGAUAAGCCUGGGAAACCGGGUCUAAUACUGGAUAUGACUCCAUGACGCAUGUUGUGGGGUGGAAAGCCUUGUGCGGCUGAGGAUGGGCCCGCGGCCUAUCAGCUUGUUGGGGGGUGAUGGCCUACCAAGGCGACGACGGGGUAGCCGGCCUGAGAGGGCGACCGGCCACACUGGGACUGAGACACGGCCCAGACUCCUACGGGAGGCAGCAGUGGGGAAUCUUGCGCAAUGGGCGAAAGCCUGACGCAGCGACGCCGCGUGA
rnacentral:rRNA from 1 species